rnacentral:rRNA from 1 species
ACACGACUACAUUAGAUACCCGCGUAGUCCUAGCCGUAAACGAUACUCGCUAGGUGUCGGCCACGGUGCGACCGUUGUCGGUGCCGUAGGGAAGCCGUGAAGCGAGCCACCUGGGAGUACGUCCGCAAGGAUGAAACUUAAAGGAAUUGGCGGGGGAGCACCGCAACGGGAGGAGCGUGCGGUUCAAUUGGAUUCAACGCCGGACAACUCACCAGGAGCGACGGUUACAUGAAGGCCAGGCUGAUGACCUUGCCUGAUUUUCCG